rnacentral:lncRNA from 1 species
CAGAGGACAGGGCUGGAUGUUGGGAAUUGGGAAUUGGGAAUUGCUGGCUGGGCUGGAAUUGCCAGAGCAGCUGGGGCUGCCCCUGGAUCCCUGGCAGUGGCCAAGGCCAGGCUGGAGCCUGGGGCUGGGAGCAGCCUGGGCCAGUGGGAGGUGUCCCUGCCAUGCCAGGGGGACACUGGGGGGUUUGGGGGUCCCUUCUAUCCCAAACCAUCACGGGAUCCUUCUGGUGACAAUCCUGGAGGAACCGGGGCAUCCCCAGCUCGCCCGAGCCCCCCGUGUGUCCCCCUGUCCUCGUCCCUGCCUCGAGGUCGGUCCCGGAGCCGUUCCCGGGGUCCGGGGGUUGAAUCCGAGCCCUCGCUGCCGGCGGAGCCGCCGGGAAUUCCCGCUGGGAACGGGGACAGGAUGCGCACGGAGCCGGUGGCGGCCGCGAUCCGCGGGGACAAGAACAGGAAGCUGAGGCCCCUCUAUGACAUUCCCUACAUGUUCGAGGCCCGGGAAUUCCUGCGGAAGAAGCUCAUCGGGAAGAAGAUUCCUCCCCGUUCCCUCCUGCUGGAGCUCCGGGUCAGCCUGGCUUCCCCAAUCAUCCCCAGUGGAGAGAGCAGCGAUCCCGUCGUGGCUGCCGCGGCUCCGUGUCCCUCAGCUCCUGCUGGGAGAGGAGCCGGGAUGUGGGAAUGCAGCUCAGGGAACGCCAUGUGCUUCCCCUCUCGUUCCCGGGCAGCGGGGAUUUUCCAGGCUGGCAUUUCCGUGGCUUUGGGGAUUUUGGCUCUCCCCGUGUCCUUCCCGGCCGCUGGAAUUUGCCCGGGAGGCCGCCAUGGAUUUGUGGGAUCAAUCGGAGCGGGAAGGAGCGGCUCCUCCGGCCAUCGAGCGCGCUCCGCCGGGGAGCGGCUCCGGAUAAUUGCGAGAUGGAUCUUCCCUAAUUAACUCCGGGAUUAAUCGCUGGGAUGGAGGGCGCUGGCAAGGGAGAGCUCCGGGAUGGAAAUUCCCUGGGCAGGGAAGCGAUGCCGCCCUGGCCUUGAGAGCUGCUCGGGGGGAGAAAGGAGGGGAUCCCUGGGGUGUGCCAGGACCCCACCCCAGAGUCACAUCCC